UGACCGAAAAGGUGGUUAAGGCGUUGGACUCGAAAUCCAAUGGGAUAUUCCCGCGUAGGUUCAAAUCCUGC
rnacentral:tRNA from 1 species